rnacentral:rRNA from 1 species
AGAGUUUGAUCCUGGCUCAGAGCGAACGCUAGCGGCACGCUUAACACAUGCAAGUCGAACGAAAAUGUUUACUUCGGUGAAUGUUUUAGUGGCGAACGGGUGAGUAAUACAUAGAAAUCUGCCCUUUUGAGAGGGAUAUCCAUGAGAAAUUGUGAUUAAUACCUCAUAAGCUCGAAAGAGGAAAGGCCGCAAGGCCGCUGAAGGAGGAGUCUAUGUCGGAUUAGAUAGUUGGUGGGGUAAUGGCCUACCAAGUCGAUGAUCCGUAGCUGGUUUGAGAGGAUGAUCAGCCACNCUGGGACUGAGAUACGGCCCAGACUUCUACAGAAGGCAGCAGUGAGGAAUAUUGGACAAUGGGGGAAACCCUGAUCCAGCGAUGUCGCGUGAAUGAAGAAGGCCUUUUGGUUGUAAAGUUCUUUCAUCUGCGAAGAUAAUGACGGUAGCAGAAAAAGAAGCUCCGGCUAACUCCGUGCCAGCAGCCGCGGUAAGACGGAGGGAGCAAGCGUUGCUCGGAAUAAUUGGGCGUAAAGGGUGCGUAGGUGGUUUUUUAAGUAAGAUGUUAAAGGCUUGGACUUAAUCUAAGUAAGGCAUUUUAGACUGAAAAACUUGAGUAUGGGAGAGGAAACAGGAAUUCCUCAAGUAGAGGUGAAAUUCAUAGAUAUGAGGAGGAACACCMGAGGCGAAGGCGAGUUUCUGGAACAUUACUGANCACUGAGGCACGAAAAGCGUGGGNUAGCAAAACAGGAUUAGAUACCCUGGUAGUCCACCSCCCUAAACGAUGAUUUGCUAAACCGUCCNGGGAGUWAUUUAAUCCCCCGGUGUUAAAGCUAACSCSAUAAGCAAUCCGCCUGAGUAGUACGGUCGCAAGACUAAAACUCAAAGGAAUUGACGGGGACCCGCACAAGCGGUGGAGCAUGUGGUUUAAUUCGAUAAUCCGCGAAGAACCUUACCAGCUCUUGACAUGGAGGUCGUAGCUUUAUGAGAGUAAAGCGUCGGUUUGGCCGGACCUCGCACAGGUGGUGCAUGGCUGUCGUCAGCUCGUGUCGUGAGAUUUUGGGUUAAGUCCUUUAACGGGCGCAACCCCUAUUUCUAGUUGCUAACAGGUUAUGCUGAGAACUUUAGAAAGACUGCCAGUGAUAAACUGGAGGAAGGUGGGGAUGAUGUCAAAUCCUCAUGCCCCUUAUGAGCUGGGCUACACAUGUGCUACAAUGGCGGCCACAAUGGGUUGCAAAGAGGUGACUCUGAGCCAAUCCCCAAAAGCCGUCUCAGUUCGGAUUGUUCUCUGCAACUCGAGAACAUGAAGUUGGAAUCGCUAGUAAUCGCUGAUCAGCACGCAGCGGUGAAUACGUUCACGGGUCUUGUACACACCGCCCGUCAAGCCAUGGGAAUUGGUUUCACCUAAAGAUGAUGAGCUAACCUUCGGGAGGCAGUUAUUUAAGGUGGGAUUGGUGACUGGGGUUAAGUCGUAACAAGGUAACC